rnacentral:rRNA from 1 species
UACGAACUGUGCGAACGUUAUUCGGAAUCACUGGGCUUACAGGGUGCGUAGGCGGCCGAACAAGUCAGGUGUGAAAGCCCUCGGCUCAACCGAGGAACUGCGCUUGAAACUGUUUGGCUCGAGUCAACUAGAGGUGCACGGAACUUCCAGUGGAGCGGUGAAAUGUGUUGAUAUUGGAAGGAACACCGGAGGCGAAGGCGGCUCACUGGGUCUCUUCUGACGCUGAGGAACGAAAGCUAGGGGAGCAAACGGG